rnacentral:rRNA from 1 species
GACGAACGCUGGCGGCGUGCUUAACACAUGCAAGUCGAACGGAAAGGCCCUGCUUUUGUGGGGUGCUCGAGUGGCGAACGGGUGAGUAACACGUGAGUAACCUGCCCUUGACUUUGGGAUAACUUCAGGAAACUGGGGCUAAUACCGGAUAGGAGCUCCUGCUGCAUGGUGGGGGUUGGAAAGUUUCGGCGGUUGGGGAUGGACUCGCGGCUUAUCAGCUUGUUGGUGGGGUAGUGGCUUACCAAGGCUUUGACGGGUAGCCGGCCUGAGAGGGUGACCGGCCACAUUGGGACUGAGGUACGGCCCAGACUGCUACGGGAGGCAGCAGUGGGGAAUAUUGCACAAUGGGCGGAAGCCUGAUGAAGCAACGCCGCGUGCGGGAUGACGGUCUUCGGGUUGUAAACCGCUUUCGCAUGUGACGAAGCGUGAGUGACGGUAAUGGGUAAAGAAGCACCGGCUAACUACGUG